rnacentral:tRNA from 1 species
GGCUUAGUAGUGUAGUGGUUAUCACACCAGAUUCUGAUUCUGGUAACCCAGGUUCGAAUCCUGGCUAGGCCU